GACGAACGCUGGCGGCGUGCUUAACACAUGCAAGUCGAACGGGCCUUGUCCCCUUUUUUUUUGGGGGUGGGGUUAGUGGCGAACGGGUGAGUAACACGUGAGUAACCUGCCCCUCACUUCUGGAUAACCGCUUGAAAGGGUGGCUAAUACGGGGUGUUCUGGCCUGCUCGCAUGGGUGGGUUUGGAAAGAUUCGACCGGUUUGGUUGUUUUGGUGGGGGAUGGGCUCGCGGCCUAUCAGCUGGUUGGUGGGGGGAUGGCCUGCCAAGGCUUUGACGGGUAGCCGGCCUGAGAGGGUGGGCGGUCACACUGGGACUGAGACACGGCCCAGACUCCUACGGGAGGCAGCAGUGGGGAAUAUUGCACAAUGGGCGCAAGCCUGAUGCAGCGACGCCGCGUGAGGGAUGGAGGCCUUCGGGUUGUGAACCUCUUUCGCCAGUGAAGAAGGUCCUGCUCUUUGUGGUGGGGUUGACGGUAGCUGGGUUAAUGAAGCGCCGGCUAACUACGUG
rnacentral:rRNA from 1 species